AUUGAACGCUAGCGGGAUGCCUUACACAUGCAAGUCGAACGGAGUGGCGAACGGGUGAGUAAUGUAUCGGAAUGUGCCCCGUAGCGGGGGAUAACUCCGCGAAAGCGGCGCUAAUACCGCAUACUAUUAGAGCGGCCGAUAUCGGAUUAGCUAGUUGGUGGGGUAAAGGCGCACCAAGGCGACGAUCCGUAGCUGGUUUGAGAGGACGACCAGCCACACUGGGACUGAGACACGGCCCAGACGCCUACGGGAGGCAGCAGUGGGGAAUUUUGGACAAUGGGGGAAACCCUGAUCCAGCCAUCCCGCGUGUGCGAUGAAGGCCUUCGGGUUGUAAAGCACUUUUGGCAGGAAAGCGGUACCUGCAGAAUAAGCACCGGCUAACUACGUGCCAGCCGCCGCGGUAAUAC
rnacentral:rRNA from 1 species